rnacentral:rRNA from 1 species
UACUAAGGGGGCUAGCGUUGCUCGGAAUCACUGGGCGUAAAGCGCACGUAGGCGGAUUGCUAAGUCAGGGGUGAAAUCCUGGAGCUCAACUCCAGAACUGCCUUUGAUACUGGCGAUCUUGAGUCCGGGAGAGGUGAGUGGAACUGCGAGUGUAGAGGUGAAAUUCGUAGAUAUCAAGCAGAACACCUGCGGCGAAGGCGGCCUUCUGGACGAUGACUGACGCUGAGACACGAAAGCGUGGGGAGCAAACAGG